GAUGAACGCUGGCGGCGUGCCUAAUACAUGCAAGUCGAGCGAACGGACGAGAAGCUUGCUUUUCUGAUGUUAGCGGCGGACGGGUGAGUAACACGUGGAUAACCUACCUAUAAGACUGGGAUAACUUCGGGAAACCGGAGCUAAUACCGGAUAAUAUUUUGAACCGCAUGGUUCAAAAGUGAAAGACGGUCUUGCUGUCACUUAUAGAUGGAUCCGCGCUGCAUUAGCUAGUUGGUAAGGUAACGGCUUACCAAGGCAACGAUGCAUAGCCGACCUGGGAGGGUGAACGGCCACACUGGAACUGAGACACGGUCCAGACUCCUACGGGAGGCAGCAGUAGGGAAUCUUCCGCAAUGGGCGAAAGCCUGACGGAGCAACGCCGCGUGAGUGAUGAAGGUCUUCGGAUCGUAAAACUCUGUUAUUAGGGAAGAACAUAUGUGUAAGUAACUGUGCACAUCUUGACGGUACCUAAUCAGAAAGCCACGGCUAACUACGUG
rnacentral:rRNA from 1 species